GACGAACCGAGCGAACGUUGUUCGGAAUCACUGGGCUUAAAGGGCGCGUAGGCGGGUGCUCAAGUCCGGGGUGAAAUCCUCCAGCUCAACUGGAGAACUGCCUCGGAUACUGGGUGCCUCGAGGGUGGUAGGGGUAUGCGGAACUAUCGGUGGAGCGGUGAAAUGCGUUGAUAUCGAUAGGAACUCCGGUGGCGAAGGCGGCCACCUGGACGGUAACUGACGCUGAGACGCGAAAGCGUGGGGAGCAAACAGG
rnacentral:rRNA from 1 species